rnacentral:rRNA from 1 species
UGGGGAAUAUUGCACAAUGGGGGGAACCCUGAUGCAGCCAUGCCGCGUGUAUGAAGAAGGCCUUAGGGUUGUAAAGUACUUUCGGUGAUGAGGAAGGGGUAUAAUUAAAUAGAUUAUAUCAUUGACGUUAAUUACAGAAGAAGCACCGGCUAACUCCGUGCCAGCAGCCGCGGUAAUACGGAGGGUGCGAGCGUUAAUCGGAAUGACUGGGCGUAAAGGGCAUGUAGGCGGAUGAUUAAGUUAGGUGUGAAAGCCCCGGGCUCAACCUGGGAAUUGCACUUAAAACUGGUCGUCUGGAGUAUUGUAGAGGAAGGUAGAAUUCCAUGUGUAGCGGUGAAAUGCGUAGAGAUGUGGAGGAAUACCGGUGGCGAAGGCGGCCUUCUGGACAGAUACUGACGCUGAGAUGCGAAAGCGUGGGGAGCAAACA